rnacentral:lncRNA from 1 species
AACAGCCCCUUGAGGACUUGUGUCGCCUAAGUUGAAUGACAGGGAAGAAACAAAAAUGAUUGUGUUCUUGGGUCUCUGGAGAAGAAACAACUUCCCAGAUGGAAAGCAGAGGCUUCUGUGGUGGCCCCUGGUCCUCAUCCUAACCCUAGGCUUUAGUGACUUACCCAGGAGUGAGUUCUUACGGUCCAAAACAGAGCACCUCAGGGAUUUGAAAGAGCCUGACCGUCUCCCCAACCUCCCAGGCCCACUCCGUCUCUAGCAGGCACCCAGCCCCUGCCUGGGGCAAUCCCCUCUGGCCUUCCCAUGAGCCCCCGGCCAGCUCCUGCUCCAGCUCUUGGUUCAGGUCACAGCUGCAUCUCUUACAAUGGCCCUGGACCUCUGGAUUUGGCUUCGGGAGUGGCUCUUCCCCAAGUGCUUCUGGCUCUUUCCCCCAAACUUUGCUUCCAACUCACUCAACAGGCUUGUUCUAUUUCAAAUGGUGAGCCCAUCAGCAACCCUAACUGCAUAUCAGUGCAGAACAGUGGUGCAGACAGAUUCUGUACUUAAGGCAUCAUGUGGGAACUGGGAAGGGAAAGAAGCUUGUCUUAUCCUAUUAGUUUUUAUCUUGUGUUUGUAUUGGGAGGGUUGAUCACAUUGUCUCUCUCCUGGGAUCACCAGACAGGGCCAAUGCUAAAGAGCUGUGGGUAUCACACUACUUUAGGUGUGAUCAAAGAUGAGGUAAAGAAAUAAUGGCGUGCUUCUCUCUUCCCUCCACCCCUUAUGGGCCACUUUCAGCACAGCAGCCAGAAACACAACCACACACACCACGUUAUGGUGAUCUCUGGUCCAGUCUGCAAAUAUGUUGUUGCCUGACACAAAGUAAACAGUCGAUGGAUGCUGCUGUGCUCGUCAUCGUUAAGUCAUCACUAUCAUCAUUUGCUCUGGCCAACUCCUGGUGUUUGCUGUCCUCUUAGAAGCUAAGCCACCGAAAGGAGCAAGCUAAGUCCUAGGGAAAAAUGUUGCCAGGCGUUCGGUCUUCUCAGAGUGAUAGCUGCUUAUUAGAAAGAAACCAACUUUGACUGUCACCUUCUCUGCCACUUGCACUCCGUUAAACCCAGAGACUGGCAGAUGCCUUUCAGCACAGCCGCACUCUGCCUCCCCUCCCUUCCUCCCAGACUCCUGUCUGAGACAGAACAGUAUCUUUGAGAACCCGAGGGCAAAAUCCUCUGCAGGAGUAGGAGGCGGCUCUUAAACAGCCCCAGGCGAUGUGGAAGGUGGGCGGAGGCUGAGCUAUUGCACUGCUCCCCAAAUCCCAGUGCCUGGCUGCACCCCCACACCUGAAACCUGCCUACCCUGGUUUAAGCCUCCCCCAGCCUUCCUGGUGAAGACCCCUCAUGGAUUCUUGUUACUCUCAGGAUUGUGCAAUAAACCCUUCUCCUUCACGCAGAGUAGACGUGACGGGAAAGUCUAUUUCUGGCCUGACUGUAUUGCAUCUUGUUUGACACCUCCGCUCAGCUGGCAUUCAGGUGGGCACUACCUGCUCAUGGAAAGUCCAGGAGAAAAUGGAAGAGAAGAUUUUUUAGAAAUCAACACACAAUUCAACGUCUUUCUUUCUUUCCUUCUUUGAGUAGACAAGUCAAUUUCACAGGGGCUGAGUAUUUACACCAGUCUGAACCUGGGCUGGAAAACUGUUCACCCCAAGCACCAUGGUGAGUGGGGAAGGAGGAGGCAGCUGCCGCCUUGAAAUCACCAACACAGCUUUGUUUCAUUGGCCCUGAGUCAGCCAAAACAUCAGACGUUCCAAAUAUUAGACAACCUUCCAGGCCAAUGUUAGCCCCAAAGCACAACCAAAAACCAAAGAGAAGUGUCUCAAAUGUUCCUGAAUGUUUUUACAUUUCUUGGACAACUAUUCUGCUCUGAGGGAAUGUGAGAAGAGCUGUCUGUUCCAUGGAGGCCCCAGAGAAAAUCAUUUCCCAUGCCAAGGCUGGAGCUGGUGGCUGUUUCCCUCUGGGGAACGGGGUGGGCUCCAUCACCCUCAGACAAGCUAUAAAGCAGGCUUUCA